rnacentral:rRNA from 1 species
GACGAACGCUGGCGGCGUGCCUAAUACAUGCAAGUCGAGCGCAGCGGCGGCUGGGUGAGUCACGCGUGGGUAACCUGCCCUUAAGUCUGGGAUACCAUUUGGAAACAGAUGCUCAUACCGGCUACUAAAGGAUGGACCUGCGAUGCAUUAGCUAGUUGGUAAGGUAACGGCUUACCAAGGCUAUGAUGCAUAGCCGGGGUGGGGGACUGAUCGGCGACAUUGGGACUGGGACACGGCCCAAACUCCUACGGGAGGCAGCAGUAGGGAAUCUUCGACAAUGGACGAAAGUCUGAUGGAGCAACGCCGCGGGAGUGAAGAAGGUUUUCGGAUCGUAAAGCUCGGUUGUUGGGGAAGCGGUAAUCAACCAGAAAGUCACGGCUAACUACGUGCCAGCAGCCGCGGUAAUAC